UACGUAGGGGGCAAGCGUUGUCCGGAUUUAUUGGGCGUAAAGAGCGUGUAGGCGGCCGUACAGGUCAGCUGUGAAACUCGAGGCUCAACCUCGAGACGUCGGUUGAAACCGUACGGCUAGAGUCCGGAAGAGGAGAGUGGAAUUCCCGGUGUAGCGGUGAAAUGCGCAGAUAUCGGGAAGAACACCCGUGGCGAAGGCGGCUCUCUGGGACGGUACUGACGCUGAGACGGCGAAAGCGUGGGGAGCAAACAGG
rnacentral:rRNA from 1 species